GAGAAGAGGCUGUGCUACAUUCAGCCCUGCGGCAGGAAGCCAUGGAAGGCAGGGAAGAUCCCCAGAGGAGAAACAUGCCAACCCACUUUCCAACUCCCCAAAGCUGAAAAGUUUGUUUUCUCUGGAUGCUCAAGUGCUCAGACUUACAGGCCCACUUUCUGUGGGAUCUGCCUGGAUAAGAGAUGCUGCGUCCCCAACAAGUCUACAAUGAUUACCGUCAGGUUCGACUGCCCCGGCGAGGGGUCGUUUAAGUGGCAGAUGCUGUGGGUCACAUCUUGUGUGUGUCAGAGGGACUGCGGAGAACCAGGAGACAUAUUUUCUGAGCUCAGGAUCCUAUAGAGCCAGACGGGGAGGAAGGGUUAAGGCUCAAUCAGGCCGCAAUGAAAACACUGAGGUGUCUGCAAAAGGGCACGGCUUACUUAAGGGAUUUAAAACACAAGAGUGACUAUUCUUUGCCUGUUAUAUUUGUGACAAUAGAAGUUUCUAAAACAUAUACAAUAAAACAAAACUGAAUGCUUGAAAAUUUU
rnacentral:lncRNA from 1 species